rnacentral:snRNA from 1 species
AUUUACAAUCGUUUUUAAAUC